AAUAAUGUAAACGACUCACUGAAUAGUCCUCUGAACUAAAUGACUCUCUUAAUGAUUCUCUGAAUCGCUGAAGAAAGGCUUACAGGCUAAAGAAAACGUUCGUUAGCAUGUUGUUAACGAUAACGCUUUGGCUAAUCCUCAACUAAUCCUUGAGGGAGACGGAGAACCACAUGAUUGUGUUGUACUGACUAACGAACUCUGCUAGAGUCGACCUGAAGGAUGUUCCAUUGGAAAACCCAGAUCGGAUCCCCUUCGUGGACAGGUCAGCGUCACGUGACCCAGAGACAGGUAAAAAUCGCGUGGGCUAUGCAGUAGUGACCGCACACGAGACGGUCUAUCAGGAAGUCUCCCCUCAAACCUUUCAGCACAAGCAGCUGAACUGUACACCCUCAUAGAGGCAUGAAGACAUGCUGAGGGACAGUAGACCUCCAAGCACGGGCUACGGUGGAGGAAAAGGCUGUGUGGCGCAAAGCAGGCCGCACGGUUGUUGACGGAGUUUGGCGAUGCCCCCAGGGCUGUCCUUGUCUUCAAAGUUGACGCAUGGCAGGGACCAUGCGUCAAAAAGGGGGGAAUGGAUAGCUGUGAUAAAGCAUUGGUUUCUCUAAUUACUCUAAAAUAAUAAUAAUAAUUUUGUUUAUGCUGUUUGCGCAACUCAUAACGUGGGUUGAGGUUUGAAGGUAGAGAAGGCCACGUCCCUACGUCCAAACAGGACUCGGAUGCGGUAGUGAUAAUGAUAAUCUCCAGUGAUAAUGGCACAUCUUUUGUGAGUCAUGCCAUUAAGUAGAUGGGUGAAUAAUUGGGUAUUGAAUUAAAGCAGCACUGUGCAUAUCAUCAAGCUAGUAAGGUUUGGUAGAGAGAGAAAAUGGGACACAAAAAAACAGAUUGAGCAAAUGCUGUUCUGAAACAGGCUUAGGAUGGCCUCAGCCUCUUUGGGAUACUGUUUGGGAGACCUCCACACACAGGAAUUGGACCUGCCACAGCUCCUCUUCCCGAUGCUGCAGCAUGUGAUGAGGUAAUGUUAAAUUACUGUGCAACCCUGUCGUCUGCUCUGCACUCUAUCCACAAGCAGGUAAAGGCGGCAUUUCCAGAUCUAGCCACGGUUCCGCUGCGUGAUCUGAAGCCCGGAGAGUGGAUCGUGAUCAAGGACUUCCGCAGGACCAGGUGGAACAAGCCACAGUGGUCGGGGCCUUUCUAGAUCCUUUUCAUCACUCGCUCCGUGGUGAAAGUCAACCAGAGAGCCACAUGGAUGCAUGUGAGCCAGUGCAGGAGAGUACCAGAGCCAAGCACUGAGCUGGAGAAGACGGGACUGCAAUAGGAGAACUAGACCGUGAGGAUAACGCCUAAGAAGGCCACGUCAUGUCAGUGAGAUCAGUACAGGAUGUUUAUCUGCUUACGCAGACACAAACAUGUUCUUCUGUUCAAGGCUCGUCUAAACAACUUCCAAGAUCCUAAAACAAAGCCUGUUUGACCUGCCUCAAUUAUGUCAUGCUCUGUGUUUCACAUAUAUAGUAGUGGUUUAGUACAAGGGCUUCAGAGCGCUCUCAUUAUUCUAUCCUGUAUUAACCAUCUUUCUGUAAUAAACCUUUUUACCUUCAGAAGACGAGUCUGCGAUAAUUGUAAAAAAAAGUUUCUCUCCUUCAUUACGUUGUAUUUUAAGGGCCAAGCACCUUAGCGGAUUUGGACGUUAUGUAAAAUCAGAACACUUCCACCAGUGUGUAUGAAGUUCUAAUGUACACCACUCCAGCACUAUAGCACCACCUUCAGGCCAAAUAUGGAAACGUUUACUAUAAUAACAAUACAACAUCGUAGAAACUCGAUUCCCAAGAUUCUUCAGGUCAAGCCGAGUUUAAAGUAGCUUCUGCAAAUUGGAUUUCCCACCAUUGUGAAUUAAAAAAAAAAAAAUUUGUCCAAUCAUCAGCAAAGUUGGAUCACUGCAUCGUGAGGCCAAUCACACAAAACUAACGUGACAGUGAAGUCCCCGAACAGGAAGUGAACGUGUCUCAACAGUGUGGUUUAUUCAGACCAAGCUUUAUAGUGACUAAGUGACGUGAAGUUUUGUCCAAAUUCACCUCUAGAGGGAGCUGUACUCCACACAGCCAUAUAUAACACGCAUUUCUCCCUUCCCUUAUUUCUCCAUCACUUCUGUUUAGAUUUGAUCUUUCCUCCCUUAUUUUUCUGUUUUUCAUUUAUUUAUCUUCACUUACAUUCUUUUUGUUUUACUGCUUUCUGUUUCCGUGUCUGAUGAACAGAGAUUUCUUCCGUUUUCCUUUCAUUACAUUGCUUUUAAACAUUCAUUUUCUUUACACAUUUGUCCUCUCUUCAUUGUUUUUCUUUCUUUACAAGCUUUUAAAUAUUUUAGUUUUUAUUUUACUCUCUUUUCCCCCUUAAUUACAAUAAAGUACAUCUAUUUAUCUAUCGGUCUAUCCACCCAUCAGUCCAUCCUCUUUUUUUGUUCCUUACCUUCAUUCUUUUUUUCACUGCUGCACGUGA